rnacentral:lncRNA from 1 species
GGGGGGGGCUGCGCCAUGGCGGCUCCGGUCACCCCGGGACAGCCCCGGCGUCCGCCCCGCGCUGUGUGACCAACCCCGGCAUCCCGUCCGACCCCGUGUAUAACUCCAUCAUCCUGCACCAGCUCCCGUGAAUGGGGCAGGUGGAAAUGUCAACCCCUCCGGGGCGGCCGUGGGGCUGAGCUGAGCUGAGCGAGGAAAUCAUUCUCCUUUUGCUUUCCCCUCCGCGGAUCUCAGCUGUACCCGGAGCAAAGCCCCGACACGGACAGCGCGGAACGAGAGCGCCCUUCUGCUUCCUCUUUGUAUUCCCAUCCGAGAUCACGGGGACGUGCUGUGCGGGAUUCUGACGGACGCAGUGAUGGCCGCUCAGAGCGUCGUUCCAAAGCAGCAGCCGGCAGAGCUCCGGUCACCAAAGCACCGCACAUCUCCUUCCUUCUGCUUAUCAGCACAGCGCCUGGCGGUGCUCCUCACUGUUGCUGGCCAUAAAGGGGACUGUGAUGUAAUUAACGACAUAACGAUGCCGCUGGUCCGGGGGACACCGGGCUCAGCCACCUUUGGUCACCUUGAAACCAAAUAUAUUUGGAACAUGCCAUCUUCUGUGCAGCUGAGAAUUGCCUCCCACCCCAAUACCGCACACGGACAUCAACGAGGACAGUCACCCUUCCUGGCAGCAGGGAGCCCUCCUGACCCAUCGCGUGGCCAUGCCAUCGCAGCGUGCUCACGAGUGCUUUUUUGAGCAGCACUAUCGCUGCGUGUCGGAUGAACACACAAAAAGGAAGAACUGUCCUUCAGUGGCAGUUAAUACUGGAAAGCAGUGCCACACACAGAGCAGUGAUUCUCACGGGAUUGUCAGAUCACAAAGGUGGGAAAAGAUUUCCAAGAUCACCAGGUGCAACCCCAACCCAUCCUUCAGCCAUGUCACAGCCCAAUGGGAUCAAGAUCACCGAGGUUCCUUCAGCUGUAUCACAAACCAACAAAAUCCGGGUCACUGGGGCUCCUUCAGCCAUGUCAUGACCCAACAGGACUGGAGCCAUUGGGGUUCUUUCAGCCAUGUCGUAGCCCAAUGGGUUUAGGAUCAUUGAUGUUCAUUCAGCUGUGUCAUGACUCAACGCGACUGGGGCCAUUGGGGUUUUCAUGUCAUGACCCAAUGGGAUCAGGGUCAUUGGGGCUCCUUCAGCCAUGUCAUGACCCAGCAGGACUGGAGCCAUUGGGGUUCUUUCAGCCAUGUCACAGCCCAAUGGGUUUAGGAUCACUGGUGUUCAUUCAGCUGUGUCAUGACCCAAUGGGACUGGGACCAUUGGGGUUUCCAUGUCGUGACCCAAUGGGAUCAGGGUAGUUGGGGUUCCUUCAGCCAUGCCGCAGCCCAAUGGGAUUGAGGUCGUUGCAGUUCAUUCAGUUGUGCCAUGACCCCCCUCAUAUUCUUUUCCUGAAUAUUUCACAGCAUGAACAAAGUGAUAAUUCUAUAGGAUUAAGCUUGCACCCAUCCAUACUACCAAUUCCUCAGCUGAAAUAUCCCCAGAUCCCAUUUAUAAAGCACUCAGAUCGACAUCUCGGAUGUCUUGCUGUAAAUCCUCAUAUUUAUAUACAUAAGCAUGUCCACAUAUGACUCUAUAUAAGUGAGAUUAAUUACAAAACUUGAGGUGCAUACCUUCCAUACCCAUUGUUACAGACUGCAGCUCUAUUCUAAGGACAACGCAGAGAUCCCUUUGGAGGGGCCAUGUGCCAUGCGGACAGGACAGGGGUUAUUUGGGUGAAAGCAUCCUGAAAACACUCAGCUUCCAGUGCCAUCACCCCUACGGGAGGACUUCAACUUCAUUCAAGUCAAUGUUCAUUGAGUUUUGUGGAUGGGGCCGAAGUCCCCCAGAGGUACAGACGAAAAGAGGGACGUGGGUUUUUGCUUGAGGAUUAGUCUUGUUUUUAAUCGGGUAUCCACAGAUUCUGAUGGGAUAAUACAAAGCCAAAAAAAGAGCGAUACAUACUGAGCAGCAAUCUACCCUUCUAGCACAGCCCGCCCAAUUACAAACACUUUAGAAAAAAGGACAUGUUUUUACAUGUGGGUUUGUGUGAAAAGGGCCACUGCAAAGGAAAGAAAAACCCGGCGAUCGAUCUGCCCGUAUCGCCACGGUGCCUUAAAAACUCCCUUCCCCGGGGGCUGCAGAGGAACUGGGGUGGGUGCAGCAGUUCCACCACUGUUGGGCCAAUGUGAGCUCAUUGCUGCCACCGCUUCAUUGACUCCUUCCUUUUUCAGUGCCUGGGUACGUUCAGGAGCAGAUGUGUUGCUCUUCAAACCUGUGCUGCUUCGCUUUCCUCAUCCACGUGUCCGUGUGUCUCUCAGCAGAAGGGUCUUUGGAAAAAAGGGAGCAGUGGAGGUGAGGGGUGCUCUCUCCACUCACACUUGUGCAGUACGGUGCGGUGUGAGUGCUCCUAAUGGAGCAGCAGCAUCUCAGCUUCAUUCCCUGGGUCAUUGCUGUGAGCCAAGGAGGAUCACUGGGUGGUCCUGAAUGGGAGCAGUUCCUAAAUUGGCCCAAACAAAGCAGUUCAGCUGCGUAAAUCCACUGCCUGAUGGGCAGAAAUGGGGCCUGGUCUGCAUCAGGAACAUCAUCUGGGAGAGCAAUGGGGUGAAAAGAGAUGGAGCUGAUUCAGUUUCCGUUGGUAAAGGUAUGUCUACGUGCUGGCAAAAGGCUGAAUGGAAAGGUGCUUUCACUACCACAUUGCUUUCAUCUCUUUAUUUCCUGCUGGUAGAGCAGAUUUGCUCUGAGGAUCUCCUACAGUCUGCUCUCCGUGGAAAAGUCAGCACCAAACCUUCCAUACAUCGAUUCCGAUCGCAGCGCUCUAUGAAACAGCAAAAAAAUGUGUCUGAAGUCACUUUGGAUUCCUCUUGGCCCUUCGUCAGCUGCUCUACGGUCGCUGAGUCCCAUCAUCAGGGCUGGCAGCUCUACACCACCACCGCUCCAUCGUCUGUCCCCAGUUUUUGUCUGCUGUCCUCCGGAGUUACCAUCAACGUCUCACCUCUGUCGCAGCAGGACAUGAAUUUCUAACAGCAUUUUCAAGAUGAAUGCAGCUCUUUUUGCAUCCAUUUGCCCCUCCACCCAUCCCUUGACCAUCCCAUGGCAAUGUGUUGAAGCCCGUGCUGCUCUACCAUCCCUGAUGCAUUGCAGUGUAGUUAACUAUGGGACGCUGCCAACCCCAUUGCCGUGUCCUCAGCAAAGAGUUUCACUUAGCAUCUGAAUUGCUCUCUGAAACAAUAAGUUAAUGAUACAUUUUUUUGUUGCUAUCAAAAUGCACUUUUUACAUUUAGUUGUACCUACAUCCCUUGUGGGUUUGGCUGUACCCACAUCCAUUGGGCUGUGCCCGUACCCUUUAUGGGUUGGGCAUUCUCAGACAUCCAUCCAGCAACAGAACGUUGACACACUCCGAAGGUUUUGUGAGAAAUAAAAGUAUGGGGCAUCCUACGUGAAGUGCUCCAUCAGAAAGUGCCCUUCAUGAAAAAGAAGUUGCAAAUGGACUCGUGUUCACACCGCGUCUUAUGCGUCUCACAGGGAAGUCAGUGCAUCCUCGCAGGCAACUCUUGGCCCAAAGGAACCUCUUGGGGAUGCUUGGAAACCGGGGACGUGUCGUCUUCAGGCCUGUAGCUUUUCUGGAGUGGUAGACCCAGUGACUCUUCUUUGGAAAAGAAUCGAUAAAGGAAAAAAAGAACCCAACAACAAAACCCCAAACAGUGUUCUUAGGGCACCUCUCGGGGUCACAAAGUGGUGCAUUUCAUGGACUGUGGACUGUGAAGCGGUCCCAACGCCACGUGUCCUCCGCAUCCCUUAUCCCCCCACGCUCUGUAGCAGCACUGCUUCCCAUUGUGUUUCACUCUUCACUGACGUUUUUAAUAACUACAGAUGUCAAAAGGGUUUUUAGAGCUGAGCUUUGACGCUAUCCAACGUCCCACCCAUUUGGUUGCAAACUCCACUCCCAGCAUCCAAUUGCAUUCUUUUGUGGAAAGCAGAGCAGAUUUGUUUUUUUUUUUUUCUUUUCCCUAAAUGCAUUAAAAUGGUCCAAAAGCACAGAAGGACAACCUCAGUGUUAUCGACAGGAGAUGGCAAAUUCCCACCCUACCCCAGGGAGAUCCCCAGUGCUUAUGGGAUGAGCUGAAGCCCACAGGAUCCAG